GAGGGUAUCGCUCAGUGGUAGAGUGCAUGCCUAGCAUGUAUCAGGUCCUGAGUUCGAUCCCCAGUACCUCCA
rnacentral:tRNA from 1 species